rnacentral:rRNA from 1 species
GAUGAAUGCUGGCGGCGUGCCUAACACAUGCAAGUCGAGCGGCAGCGCAGGUAGUUUACUACCUGGCGGCGAGCGGCGGACGGCUGAGUAACGCGUGGGAACGUACCCCAAAGUGAGGAAUAACUGCCCGAAAGGGUGGCUAAUGCCGCAUAUGGUCUUCGGAUUAAAGGAUUUAUCCGCUUUGGGAACGGCCUGCGUAGGAUUAGAUAGUUGGUGAGGUAAAGGCUCACCAAGUCGACGAUCUUUAACUGGUCUGAGAGGAUGAUCAGUCAGACUGGAACUGAGACACGGUCCAGACUCCUACGGGAGGCAGCAGUGAGGAAUCUUCCACAAUGGGCGAAAGCCUGAUGGAGCAACGCCGCGUGCAGGAUGAAGGCCUUCGGGUCGUAAACUGCUUUUAAAAGUGAAGAAUAUGACGGUAGCUUUUGAAUAAGCACCGGCUAACUACGUGCCAGCAGCCGCGGUA